GCUGGGCGCGGUGGCUCACGCCUGUAAUCCCAGCACUUUGGGAGGCUGAGGCAGGUGGAUCACCUGAGGUCGGGAGUUCAAGACCAGCCUGACCAACAUGGUGAAACCCUGUCUCUG
rfam:Homo sapiens chromosome 22, GRCh38 reference primary assembly.